ACGCUCGACACCUACGGGAUGCAGCAGUGGGGAAUAUUGCACAAUGGGGGAAACCCUGAUGCAGCAACGCCGCGUGAAGGAAGACGGUUUUCGGAUUGUAAACUUCUGUUCUUAGUGAAGAUAGUGACGGUAGCUAAGGAGCAAGCCACGGCUAACUACGUGCAGCAGCCGCGGUAAUCUGAGCGGGCUGGCAAGGC
rnacentral:rRNA from 1 species